rnacentral:lncRNA from 1 species
AAGGAUUGUAGCUUAAUUGCGGGAUUAACAUUUUUUUAAUCACUCGCUGAGGAGACGAGAUUUGGAGGGACCCAAACCAAAAUGUCUCAUGUGCCCCUGGAAAAAUAUUUAAUUACACUGCAACCUUCGUAGAUUAAUGUAUUCGAUUCUAUUACAAAUAUGAAUCGAUUCUAACCAUUUUAAAAAAAGCAAGUGUGAACGAAGGAGCUUUGUGUGCAAGUGUGAACGAAGGUGCAUUGCGUGCGGAGGAAGAGAGAAAGCAAAGGUAUGAUUGUAGUUGUUUAGGAAACUCUUUGUUAUUUUUUAGGUUGGAGGUUCGUGGUAGAUGAAGAAGAUGAGGUUGAAGGGCAAUGGAUGAUGAAGAACGAAGUGGUUGAUGAAGAACAUGAGCUGCCAAGGUGGAGAAGAUGUUGGAGAAGACGCUGGAGAAGACGAAGAAGUGAAACCGUAUUCGGUUCCAACACGCCGUAUUCGAUUACAGUCUGAAGAAGAAGAUGGGAAAGCGUAUUCGGUUCGCAUAUUGCGUAUUUGGUUUCGCCAUUGUAGCGACGUAUUCGGUUCCAACACGCUGUAUUUGGUUACAGUCUGAAGAAG